ensembl:lncRNA ROCR regulator of chondrogenesis RNA
GAACAGUAGGCACCCAGGAAGUAUGUGGUUCAGACACUUAUUCUGGCUUGUGUUUUAUUUCAGCAUACAGCAGUGUUGGGUUAGGUGGGGUUGGUGUAGUCAUCUGGUGAUGUGGUUUACUUAAGCAGUCAAUGAGAAUGUUCUGAUCAAGAUAAGACUUCACACUUCUCCCACUGACUUAUUGAUAUCAACCCUCUCCAAGCCAUGAGAUGGAAGAGUGUCCUUAUAUGAAGACUGCUGGAGUUCCAUUGGCUGGAAGUGCCUCAGGCUGUGGCUGGUGUUUGAAGGGCUGCUCCACACAUAUCAAUCAUCCUUUGACAAGAUCUGGAAGAAAAAAAAAAACAACAAAAACCACCCCCCAAAAAGGUGAGGUUCCGAGAUGGUAUCUGGAUGAUGAACACAGAGAGAGCUUCCAUUGUUCCUCUUCUCCUUUGUGCAGAGGAAGCCGUUGGCUGAGUUCAGAAAAAUGUUAAGUGCAUAUCCCGGACCAGUUUGGGUCUCCAGACUGAAUGAAGCCAGUCAGCUGGGAUUCUGGUUGAGUCUCAGACUCAGAAGAAACUUGUGGGAUUAAGUGGUUUUUCUGGAAAAUAUUGGCUGAAAACCACAUUCACCCCAAAUUGCUGUGUGAAUGAAACACAUGGGUUUUCUUUGUGUUUUAAAUAAUUCCAGUGGUGGCCUCAAGCUUCUAUUUCCCUGUGUUUUUAUGGAGUUAACCAAAAUAGCUUUGUACAAAUAACAAAAAGUAUGAAAAAGUAUAUGCACCUUGUCAUUGCUUUGCCAAUUGGAAAUACUCUUAAGACAUAUGAACAACAAUAAAAAGCUGUGGCUUCAGCUUUUAAAAUGCUGAAGACAUGGCUUAUUGCAGAA